UUGGAGGCCACGGACGCGGAUACGGAAACAGGUGGAUGAGACGACGGAGUUCCGUAUUUGGUGGAUAUUAAAACGUUUUCCAGAUUCAUCACACUCUCCUUCAUGCUUUAACCAUUUAAUUUAUUGCCAAAAAUUGUGUUCACUUAAUAAAAUGUUUUUAAUAAAUGAAA